CCUGGGGGCCACCCCGGGGGCAUCCCCCAGCCCCAAUUCCCGCUCUGGGCUCCCUGCCUUGGUCGUGGUCGGAGAUGGGAAGGGGAGGCCUCGCUCCAGGGAACCUCUUUGAGACCUGGGACGUUCCUGAGCUCCUGGGAAUCUUCCUAAAGCUCCUCAGGAUCUUCACGGAGGUUCCUGGGGUCUUUUGGAGCUCCUGGGGACGUUCCUGAGCUCCUGGGAAUCUUCCUGAAGCUCCUUGGGAUCUCCACGGAGGUUCCUGGGGCGUUUUGGAGCUCCUGGGAAUCUUCCUGAAGCUCCUCAGGAUCUUCACGGAGGUUCUUGGGGUCUUUUGGAGCUCCUGGGGACGUUCCUGAGCUCUUGGGAAUCUUCCUAAAGCUCCUUGGGAUCUUCACAGAGGUUCUUGGGGUCUUUUGGAGCUCCUGGGGAUGUUCCUGAGCUCUUGGGAAUCUUCCUAAAGCUCCUCAGGAUCUUCAUGGAGGUUCCUGGGGCAUUUUGGAGCUCCUGGGGACAUUCCUGAGCUCCUGGGAAUCUUUCUGAAGCUCCUCAGGAUCUCCACGGAGGUUCUUGGGGUGUUUUCGAGCUCAUGGCGACCUUCCUGAGCUCCACAGAGGUUCCUGGGUUCUUUUGGAGCUCACGGGGACGUCCCCAAGCUCCUCGAGGGGAUCUCCAUGGAGGUUCCUGGGUUCUUUUGGAGCUCACGGGGACCUUCCUGAGCUCCAUGGACGUUCUUGGGGUCUUUCGGAGCUCACGGGGACGUCCCCGAGCUCCCCGAGGGAAUCUCCAUGGGGGAUCUUGGAGUCUUUUGGUCAUGGGGACGUCCCCAAGCUCCCCGAGGGGAUCUCCAUGGAGGUUCCUGGGGCGUUUUGGAGCUCACGGGGACGUUCCUGAGCUCCACGGAGGUUCUUGGGGUCUUUUGGAGCUCACGGGGACGUCCCCGAGCUCCUCGAGGGGAUCUCCAUGGGGGAUCUUGGAGUCUUUUGCUCACGGGGACGUCCCCGAGCUCCCCGGGGAAUCUCCAUGGCGGUUCCUGGGUUCUUUUGGAGCUCAUGGGGACCUUCCUGAGCUCCAUGGGGGUUCCUGGGUUCUUUUGGAGCUCACGGGGACGUCCCCAAGCUCCUCGAGGGGAUCUCCAUGGAGGUUCCUGGGUUCUUUUGGAGCUCACGGGGACCUUCCUGAGCUCCAUGGGGGUUCCUGGGUUCUUUUGGUCACGGGGACGUUCCCAAGCUCCCCGAGGGGAUCUCCAUGGAUGUUCUUGGGUUCUUUUGGAGCUCACGGGGACGUCCCCAAGCUCCUCGAGGGGAUCUCCAUGGAGGUUCCUGGGUUCUUUUGGAGAUCAUGGGGACCUUCCUGAGCUCCAUGGAGGUUCCUGGGUUCUUUUGGAGCUCACGGGGAUGUUCCUGAGCUCCCCGAGGGGAUCUCCAUGGAGGUUCUUGGGGUCUUUUGGUCACGGGGACGUCCCUGAGGGAAUCUCCAUGGAGGUUCCUGGGUUCUUUUGCUCACGGGGACGUCCCCGCGCUCC